GUGCCCGCUUCGACAGCACAUAUGCUAAAAUUGGAACAAUCUGAGAAAAUUAACAUGGCCCCUGCACAAGGAUGACACGCAAAUUCAUGAAACAUUCCAUAUUUUU
ensembl:snRNA U6 U6 spliceosomal RNA